GUAUGGUUUAUAAUUAGCUCAUCUUGGUAAGAUUGUUAAUUGGUAUGAUAUGCAUUUGUGAUUGUUAUAAUUAGGCUCAAGUGAAUUAAGUAUGGUUGUUGGAUGUGUUUUGGGUAUGGUUUAUUAUUGAAUUAUAUUUUGACUGUAAUUUGUUUAUUUAUUAGUUUGGGAAAUGGCAGUGAUGAGCUGUUAUAUUUGGUUGAUGAUAGAUAAAUGAAUACAUAUGUACUUAUGUCACGAAUUUUGGUGAUUUGGGAUGUAAAGGUCA
rnacentral:lncRNA from 1 species